rnacentral:rRNA from 1 species
AUCAUCUUCCCAGUUCUGGAGGGGCUAACACUCCUCCCAUACGGAUAACCUCUGUAACCCUGAGGCUAAUACGUGUACGAAAAUGGUCUCUUCGUCAAACAUUCUGUCGGGAGUGGGGGUUGGGCAACUGAUUCCCGCCCGACGGCAUGGAAGGGGCCCGCAAUAGGCCGAUAACAAAACCAACGCCCGCGGUUGACAACUCGUGCCUCGUGUGCGAGCCGAUCGCUUCAAAGGGCAGCGUUUCUCCUUCGCACUUCGCGUGCAACUAAGGUGAUACAGGCCAAUCAUGUGAAAGCGCAUCGAUCCUCGCGAUCGGCGCGGAACUGGACGAAUUUCUGCCUUAUCAGCUUUCGAUGACCGUGUAGCGAACGGCCAUGGCGAUAACGAGUCACGGGGAAUUAGGGUUCGACUCCGGAGAGGGCGCCUGAGAAACGGCGACCAGAUCUAAGGAUUGCAGCAGGCACGCAAAUUGCCCAAUAACAGCACGUUGUUGAGGCAGUGACGAGAAAUAACAACACCGGACGAAACAUAUCGGCCGGUGAUUGUAAUGAACGGUAUCCAAAGCAACCGAUGAGUACCCAUUGGAGGGCAAGUCUGGUGCCAGCAGCCGCGGUAAUUCCAGCUCCAAUAGCAUUCACUAAUGUUGUUGCGGUUAAAAAGCUCGUAGUUGGAUCCGGAGCUCGGGAUUGCAGGUUUCGGUAGGGUUCUAAGGCUUGGGCCUCGCGCUCAGGCUGGGAACACAACCGCCUGCACGAGAUCCUGGCUCUACAUACACGGGACCCGGUUCUCCUGUCUGAUCUCUCCUUCAUUGGAGGGUGAAGGCGCUUUCUGGAGCGUCCGUGGUUGUUACUGUGAACAAAACAGCAUGUCCAAAGUAAGCGCGGCACACGCCAGUCCGCUUGAAUGUUUGAGCAUGGAAUGACAAGGGAGCGACCUCKAAGUUAGGAUCUCCUUGUUUGUUGGUUUUGAAGACUUCAUUGGGAAACUCAAGGCAGAUUGCGCCGUGCAGUUGGGUUCGCCCCUUCAGUGUGGCCUCUGCUUACAAACGGGAUCAAUCGGAGCAAACGGUGGGGUACGUACUGCGGCGCUAGUGGUGAAAUACUUAGAUCGCCUCAUGACGAACAUCUGCGAAAGCAUUCCUCAAGCAUGCCUUCUUCAAUCAAGAGCGAGAGUAUGGGGAUCAAAGAUGAUUAGAUACCGUUGUAGUCCAUACCGUAAACGCUGCCGGUAAGGUGUCGGAGGCUUGCUCUGGCAUCCCGACUCCUUCGGAGCCAAUCCCCAUAACGAGAAAUCCAAACCUGGGUUCCGGGGGGAGUACGCUCGCAAGAUCGAAACUUAAAGGAAUUGACGGAAUGGCACCACAAGGCGUGGAGUGUGCGGCUUAAUUUGACUCAACACGGGAAACCUUGCCAGGUCCGGACUUGCUGAGGAUUGACAGAUUGAGAGCUCUUUCUUGAUCGCAAGGGUGGUGGUGCAUGGCCGUGCUGGGUUGGUGGAGUGAUUUGUCUUCUUAAUCGCGAUACCGAACGAGAUCACAGCCUCUUACUCGGCCUUCCGCUCGCAUAUCGAGUAGGGGUGCCUUGAGGUCCCGUUCCCACGCACGUGUCGUGUGUACGCGAAGAUCCGCUGUGUAUGCGAUUUCCUUCUCGCGAAGGGAAAAGCGUCGCGGCGUUUCGAGCGCGCAUAUGAUAU